UACGGAGGGUGCGAGCGUUGUCCGGAAUCAUUGGGCGUAAAGGGCGCGUAGGUGGCUUCUUAAGCGUGCGGUGAAAGCCUGGGGCUCAACCUCGGGUCUGCAGUCGAUACGGGCAAACUAGAGUAUUGCAGGGGAGACUGGAAUUCCUGGUGUAGCGGUGAAAUGCGCAGAUAUCAGGAGGAACACCGGUGGCGAAGGCGGGUCUCUGGGCAAUAACUGACGCUGAGGAGCGAAAGCGUGGGGAGCGAACAGG
rnacentral:rRNA from 1 species